rnacentral:rRNA from 1 species
GACGAACGCUGGCGGCGUGCUUAACACAUGCAAGUCGUACGGUAAGGCCCUUUCGGGGGUACACAAGUGGCGAACGGGUGAGUAACACGUGAGUAACCUGCCCACAACUUUGGGAUAACGCUAGGAAACUGGUGCUAAUACUGGAUAUGUGCCCCUGCUGCAUGGUGGGGGUUGGAAAGCUCCGGCGGUUGUGGAUGGACUCGCGGCCUAUCAGCUUGUUGGUGGGGUAGUGGCCUACCAAGGCGGCGACGGGUAGCCGGCCUGAGAGGGUGACCGGCCACAUUGGGACUGAGAUACGGCCCAGACGCCUACGGGAGGCAGCAGUGGGGAAGAUUGCACAAGGGGCGCAAGCCUGAUGCAGCAACGCCGCGUGCGGGAUGACGGCCUUCGGGUUGUAAACCGCGUUCAGCAGGGACGAAGCUUUUUGUGACGGUACCUGCAGAAGAAGCACCGGCUAACUACGUG